AGAAUCAACGCUGGCGGCGUGCCUAACACAUGCAAGUCGUACGCGAAAGGGGCUUCGGCCCUGAGUAGAGUGGCAAACGGGUGAGUAACACGUGGGUGACCUGCCUUCGAGUGGGGGAUAACGUCCCGAAAGGGACGCUAAUACCGCAUGACAUCCUGCCUUUGGAAAGGCGGAGAUUAAAGCCGGGGAUCGCAAGACCUGGCGCUUGAAGAGGGGCCCGCGCCUGAUUAGCUAGUUGGUGGGGUAAUGGCCUACCAAGGCAACGAUCAGUA
rnacentral:rRNA from 1 species